rnacentral:rRNA from 1 species
AAUGAACGUUGGCGGCAUGGAUUAGGCAUGCAAGUCGAGCGAGAAGAGUUUUGAAGCUUGCUUUAGAACUCGGACAGCGGCGAAAGGGAGAGUAACGCGUAGUUAUGUGCCCUAGGGUCCGGAAUAGCCACGGGAAACUGUGGGUAAUGCCGGAUAAUAUCCCCGGAUCAAAGGUGUGAUUCCGCCCUAGGAGCAGACUGCGUCCUACUAGCUAGUUGGUGGGGUAAUGGCCUACCUAGGCAACGAUGGGUAGCGGGUGUGAGAGCAUGACCCGUCUCACUGGGACUGAGACACUGCCCAGACACCUACGGGUGGCUGCAGUCGAGAAUCUUCGGCAAUGGGCGAAAGCCUGACCGAGCGAUGCCGCGUGCGGGAUGAAGGCCCUCGGGUUGUAAACCGCUGUCGUGGGGGAGGAAGGUUCCGUGAAGAGCGGAAUUUGACCUAUCCUAGGAGGAAGUACGGGCUAAGUUCGUGCCAGCCGCCGCAGUAA